rnacentral:rRNA from 1 species
AAUAGGCUAAUUAAGAGCGUAAGGGGAAUGCCUUGGCUCUCAGAGGCGAUGAAGGACGUGAUAAGCUGCGAUAAGCUGUGGGGAGUGGCACAAACACUUUGAUCCGCAGAUUUCCGAAUGGGGCAACCCGGCAUAUUGAAGAUAUGUCACACUGUAAAGUGAGCAAACCUGGUGAACUGAAACAUCUAAGUAACCAGAGGAAUAGAAAACAAAAGUGAUUCCGCUAGUAGUGGCGAGCGAACGUGGAACAGCCCAAACCUAUGUUGUUACGGCAAUAUAGGGGUUGUAGGACCUCAACAUUUAAUGCUAAUAGAACUAGAAUUUACUG